UUGCGCAUGCGCAAUUGGACAACGGUAAAGUUCAUUGCGUUAUGAGUUCUGGUAGGUCUAAGCCGCCUCCGAACAUUCUUGACCGACCUCUGAGCAGGGGGAAGUCUGAGGUGAACUUGAGCACGUUUGCUCUGCUUUUCUCGGAGAUUGUUCAGUACAGUCAACAUAGAGUCUUGUCGGUCGCAGAACUGCAGACAAAGCUUGCAGAGCUUGGUCAAGAGGUUGGCAUACGAAUGUUGGAUAUCCUUGCUGUCAGGGAGCGCGGAUCACGUCGGGAGACAAGACUACUAAAUGUACUUCUUUUUAUCAAAGGCCCUCUAUGGAAGACACUCUUUGGCAAAGAAGCUGACAACUUGGAACAUGCAACUGGUGAUGAAUCAACGUAUUAUAUAAUUGAAAAGGAGCCAAUUAUCAACAAGUUUAUCUCAGUUCCAAAGGACAAAAGCAGCUUAAAUUGUGCUUCAUUCAGCGCAGGAAUUGUGGAAGGAGUUUUGAAUGCCACAGACUUUCCAGCGAAAGUAACUGCUCACUGGCACAAAGGCACAACUCUCAUGAUCAAAUUUAAAGACUCGGUACUUUCCAGAGAACGUACUCUUGAUGGUCGGUAAUUUGUAGUUGAGCCUAGUGACAAGCUGAGUGGGUAGUGAGUGGAUCAGGUGACAUUGUUUGGAAGAAACUUAGAUUUUGUCUUGAACCACUGUCGGUGUUUCUGCUGCAAAAUUUCAUAACAGUUAGGUUAGGUAGAUCUAGCAGAGCUGUGAAUAUGAAUAUAUUUGGUAUCAAUGAGACUUUAUAAUUAGUCAUUGUGACCCUUCUAAAGUCACCUUGAAAUAGUUUCUGCUACCUUCAAGUGUUGUGUCGGAUUUAUUUUAUGCCGUUUGCAUUCUUAAGGUAUGGGCAGGCUACUAAACAUAACUAUAGCACUACAUGAUAUCAACAGGUAAUGGUUAGCCACACAGUCACAGUCAGAUAGAAGUGUUCUGUUAAUUAUUCAUUUCUGAUUUUUUCAAGUUCUUUGUAUGCCUCAUUUGCAGUGAGUCUCUUUUCGGGUAGUAAAUCCCAACAUUUGAUUGCCAAUUGUUGCCAUUGAGUGUUUUGAAUUCCUUCCUUCACUUCAAUAAAUCCGGGAUCACGCUGCAAAUCUUGAGGAACUCUGUCGUAGACAGUUUCAUUUUGUUGGUAUUCUUGAGGGAUUCUCAAUUUGUUCCAGAUUUCCCACAUUAUAAGACCAAUGCUGUACAUAUCAGCAGGGAGAGCAUACGGUUUAUUUUGUCUCACCUCUGGGGCAAGGUAGACUGUCAUUCUUUGGAUCUUAGACUCCAUGACUUCUUUGACAC